CGCGGUCCAUUUCUUCAUUCACUCCCUCUGAAAGUUCGUCAAUGAAAUCAAAAUCGUAACGACGCGUUGCCGGACCCUUAUUCAGCGCGUCGCAUGAGAGUUUAAAUAACCGGUAGCUCUUUCCGUUUUACUAUUUAAACUAAAAAAUUCUGACUUGUCUGUGCCCGCGUAUUCAUCGGCGGUGGAAAACGCGUGUCUGGCAACCGUUCCCUUAGCUGAGAGCAUUGAGCCUGGGCUUGACUGUUGCUAUAUUGCCCGUAUCUAUACCUGCCUCGUGGCUGAUCAUAAAACCGUCUAUUGUCCGAAAAUCGUCUAUUUUCAUAUCGGUAACCAUUAUUUCGUUCCUGUUGCUCCAUAUUCACUUGUCGAGCUCGAACCGGCUGUCUCAUAGCCUCAUUCUGAUUUCCCGGUUGAUCAUCCCGAAAUUUUGCUCGUUCUCUACGUAUUCCGUCCAAACUCCCGAUCGUUUGGCCUAUCAACGCGUCAUUAUUAAAGUGAACUGUAGCUAAACGCCUCCCGUGUAGAAAUAUAAUGUGGUAUGCCAUAACUCUAAAAUGGGCCACAUCAGGCGAUUACAUGGCUUGCCGUAUUUGUUUCAAAAUUCACCGGUCAUUGUUUUUGCAUGUACGCUCAUGGAUAAAAAAAGUUUUUCCGUCAUUGUUUGUAUAAAAUAUUCUAUUUCACACUAUUCUUGAUCACGUUACUCGGAUCAUACGUGUCAUAGCGCUACUUUGGGCUCAUUAUGGCUGCCAGUUUCGCACUACUGUUCGGGUUCUAGAAUGGCGCUAGUGGUACAAUACGAAUAUCGUACUUCGGCUGAGAUCUGGCAGUCUCAUCUCCGCCAAUGUAUGGUUCGUGUCGCGCUUCUAGUGUGGCAUAGAAGCGGCAUUAGUUUUGUAAUUCAAUUACAUGCCUAUAUAUAUUUAAUGGCCCCCUAUUUUUGUCAUGUGUAAUUUAACUUUUAUCAUUACUUUAUGAAUUCUAUGUGUAAUUGGAUUCAUUUCGACUGAUCGGGUUUUCAGCCCAUGUGGCCACUGUCUGACAUAACCUAACUGCUUCUUUUAAUCCUGUUAAGUUCGAGUUUGAUCAGUAUUCAGCCAGUAGCUAAAAAAAUCCUUGUGGGGGAUUUCCAUAUCUUCUAUAACAUAUGUAUGCGCACAUCUCUCUUUUUUCUGCAAAUACUCUGAAUUAAGAAAAAACGAACUCAAAAAUGUGUGACAAACGAACAUUGAAUAGAGACAAGAUCAACGAAACGAGGCGAAGACAACGACAAAUUGUAAAGGCAAUGGCCCGUGAUAUUGAUAUGCGAUUAACGUCAGAUGAAACCUCGACAGACGAAUCAGGUGGAAUUUAUCAUCUAUUGACAAAUGUACGAAUUAAAAAAUCUAAAUGAAAAAUACAUUUGCAUGUAGAUGAUAGAACACGUGAACCUAGAGAAUGUUCAGAUCAUUGUGGUACAUCAGCUGAAGAACAUACUGAUCCAUCAAUGAUAGUAGAACAAGAGGAACAAAACAGUACGGACUAUACGACAGAAGAACAAGAAAAUGAGAAUAGCACACGUGAAUCUUCAACAGAGCAGGAGUAUGAGGAAAGAAGAAGUCGCACGUCAGAAUCUACAGACGACGAAGAAGAAAGAAAUGUAUAUCAGGAGCUUCGCGAAUGGGCUGUUGAAUUCAACAUUCCACACAGGAAUCUUGAAAAAUUAUUGGACAUUAUUCGCAGAAGAUUUUUACCUGAACUACCGAAAUCAGCGAAGACUUUUUGGAAAACGAAUUCUUGUACUUGUGUCAUCAGAGAAACAGAAAGUGGUCAGUUUGUUUAUUUCGGCUUAGAAAGUGGGCUUCGAGCUUAUAUAAUCGAACACCUGCAUCCGGGAAACCAAAUCUUUUUACAAGUUAAUGUAGAUGGGCUGUCAGUUUUCAAAUCAAGUUCAACGCAAUUUUGGCCCAUACUUUGUAAGGUGCAUUCUCCGCAAAUGGAUUUGUAUACACCGUUUAUUGUAGGUUGUUAUUGUGGGAAUUCUAAACCUCUGUCACGAGCGCCGCAUAUUUACACCGAAUAUCAUCAUAAACCAUGUCAAUAAUUAUUAAUAUCGCUUUAGAGACGAGGAAGCAUAGCUUAAAUAUGUUGGUCAAUCUAUAUAAAAUAUUUCUUACAAAACAGUUCGUGGCAUAACCAAAGCGCAACGGCGUAGUUGACGGACAGCAACGACAGCGUCUCCGCGGCCGCCAGAUCCCGGAUGUAAUCAACACCGGGAUGAGGCGAUCGCGAGAUCACGUGCUUCGAGGAUGACUGUCGCGGGGCGAGCCUUUGUUCCAAAAUUGUAAAUUCAGCGAAAACCUCUCUCACCGCCCGACGAUCCAAGGGGUGUCGGACGAGCGAGCGAAGUCAGUCUCGUUAGAGACAGAAUAAAAUCAACAUCUACGGAAACAGGCUCCUUCAAAGCUGUCGAGUAUAGAGUUGUCAGUCUUAGAGUCAUCGACGAAUAGAGAGUGAAUUCCUCUAAUUCUACACGCGGUGUUCAAAGCGUCUCGCGUCGCGACGUCAGUCUUUCGAAGCUAGAAUAUAAGAGUAGAAAGCUGUGCCACGAACUUAAUCAAGUUGUGUAGUAAUAAGAAUAGUGAUAAUUGAGAGAGAGUGAGAAUUCGGAGUAGAAACCACCAAAAAAGUGAGUAGAUGUAUGAACGAGAACCACUAGGUUAAGAACAUUAAUGUAAGCUUCCUCGUCUUAGAUA